CCGACAAAACAAAACGGUCUCACUGCUCCACAUUCUAACGACACUGGGAAUGAACGUUAUCCGUGCUUCUCUAUCAAAUACGCAUUGACGCAGAUGAAUAUGAUUUAAUCCGACGACCACUACAUGUUUUACUGUC
rnacentral:misc_RNA from 1 species